rnacentral:rRNA from 1 species
GAACAAGGUUUCCGUAGGUGAACCUGCGGAGGAUCAUUA